GUCGAGCGGGAUUUCCCUUCGGGGAUUGAGAGCGGCGCACGGGUGAGUAACGCGUAUGCAACCUGCCCUUUACAGGGGAAUAGCCCGGAGAAAUCCGGAUUAAUGCCCCAUAGUACCAUAAAGCCGCAUGGUUUUUUGGUUAAAGCUCCGGCGGUAAAGGAUGGGCAUGCGUGACAUUAGCUAGUUGGGGGGUAACGGCCCACCAAGGCUACGAUGUCUAGGGGUUCUGAGAGGAUGAUCCCCCACACUGGUACUGAGACACGGACCAGACUCCUACGGGAGGCAGCAGUGAGGAAUAUUGGUCAAUGGGCGCAAGCCUGAACCAGCCAUCCCGCGUGAAGGACGACGGCCCUAUGGGUUGUAAACUUCUUUUGUACGGGAAGCACGUGCGCUAUGUAUAGCGUAUUGACGGUACCGUACGAAUAAGCAUCGGCUAACUCCGUGCCAGCAGCCGCGGUAAUACGGAGGAUGCGAGCGUUAUCCGGAUUCAUUGGGUUUAAAGGGUGCGUAGGCGGCCCGGUAAGUCAGCGGUGAAAGUUUGCGGCUCAACCGUAAAAUUGCCGUUGAUACUGUCGGGCUUGAGUUCAGAUGAAGUGGGCGGAAUGAGUAGUGUAGCGGUGAAAUGCUUAGAUAUUACUCAGAACACCGAUUGCGAAGGCAGCCCACUAAACUGCGACUGACGCUGAUGCACGAAAGCGUGGGGAUCGAACAGGAUUAGAUACCCUGGUAGUCCACGCCGUAAACGAUGUUCACUCGCUGUUUGCGAUAUAUUGCAAGCGGCCAAGCGAAAGCAUUAAGUGAACCACCUGGGGAGUACGAUCGCAAGGUUGAAACUCAAAGGAAUUGACGGGGGCCCGCACAAGCGGAGGAACAUGUGGUUUAAUUCGAUGAUACGCGAGGAACCUUACCCGGGCUUAAAUGUAGGCUGCAUGAGGUGGAAACACCCUUCCCUUCGGGGCUGCCUACAAGGUGCUGCAUGGUUGUCGUCAGCUCGUGCCGUGAGGUGUCGGGUUAAGUCCCAUAACGAGCGCAACCCCUAUCGUUAGUUGCCAUCGGGUGAAGCCGGGAACUCUAGCGAGACUGCCACCGUAAGGUGAGAGGAAGGUGGGGAUGACGUCAAAUCAGCACGGCCCUUAUGUCCGGGGCUACACACGUGUUACAAUGGACGGUACAGAGGGCCGCUACCCCGCGAGGGGAUGCCAAUCUCGAAAGCCGUUCUCAGUUCGGAUCGCAGUCUGAAACCCGACUGCGUGAAGUUGGAUUCGCUAGUAGUCGCGCAUCAGCCAUGGCGCGGUGAAUACGUUCCCGGGCCUUGUACACACCGCCCGUCAAACCAUGGAAGUUGGGGGGACCUGAAGUCUGUACCGCAAGAGC
rnacentral:rRNA from 1 species